GAUAGCAGAAAAAAAUACAUAGAAAUAAAUAAAGGCAAACAUUUUUCCAAGUUCAAUUUUUAAACAUUCAACCAGGAAUCCAAAAGCUCACCAAUCCCACGCCCAGAAAAUCACACGUAGGCAUAGCACAGUCCAAUUGCUGAGCCCCAAAGAGAACAGAAAGUCUUAAAAGUGGACAGGAAAAAACACACAUUACAUUUGUGAGACAAUAACAAGAAUAAUCAGAGACAAUGCAGGCUCGAAGACAAGGAAAUCACAUCUUCAAAGCAUCCCGAGGGAAAAAGAAGCUAUAGUCAAGAAAGCACCCUUCAAAGAUGAGAGUCAUGUAAAGAUAGGUACAGACAACAAAAGCUGAGAGAAUCUACCAACAAUACAAGAUAAGUUAAAUGAAGUCCUUCAGGCUGAAGAAACGUAAUUUGAGACAGAACCGUGGAUCUAAACGAAGAGAUGAAGAGCACAGGAAAUGGUAAAUAUGCAGAUAAAAAACCUAAAAUCACCAACGGCCUUCUGGAUGCAAGCAAAUAUACACAGAAAAUCAGAGACAUGCUGAAGGAUGUUUUCACCCAAAUGAGGGAAUACGCCAAGAAAGAAGAAGACAUGAGCUAUAGAAAACAGGUGAUCCAUCCCAAGAGGCACAGAGAAUCCCCAGGACAUCUGCCAAAAGCCCCUUAGAGAGAUGUUGCCAAGACAAUGAAAUCAGUAGAUAGCGAUGUGUUCGAAUGAUUGAGUCUGCACACUGGUGAAGACUGGAUUACAAAAGAACGAGAGGAGGGCUAGAUACCACCUGGUGACAGAAGGCCCUGAUAGGUAGCAACUGCCUGUAACUGCAUCUUUCCCCACCAGGUAUGAGGUGAGCACUUUUCAGUUGCAUGUACAACAGUUAGGCCAACAUUAAAAGUAUAUUUACUUACGUAUUUGUAUGUUUGGAAGACAAAAAGAGCAGAAUGUACUAGACAGGUUUCAUUCUCGUCUCGUCUACUGCUUCUUCUCGAAAAUCUGUGCCACUCCUAGUCCUUGGAACAGGCAAUGGUUCAUAGCUUUGUUGGCCCAGCUGGCCUGGGUCAGUCCUGAUUUACAUCUGUUCCUGGCGUAAUUAUUAAUAGUGCUCCCUUUACCUAGAAGGUGUCGUCACUCUGUACAUAGCAGAUGGCAUCCACUCUUGCACCCUCUCAUCCCCCUUACCUCCCCCGCAAAGCUGACUUGACUGGGAAAAUCUACCCGACGUAAGGCUGACCAAUCCACUGGCUAGUUAGCAACCGAUCAGAUGCUCAUUCUUGAGAAUUUACACGGAAAGACUGUUAGAGAUUGAAGUCAAGUGGCAGUUCCUGUACUUGAAAAGUCACAUGGAGUCAGGGCUCUUUGGGGACAUAUUUGGCUAUAUUAAGGAUGAGGAAGCAGAGGAAGCCAGCCAGGGUACUAGUGAAGGAGGCAGACUGAAGAAGGAAAUAGAGCAGCUACAUGAAGAGGCGUCAUGAAAUGGAGAAGCCAGUUGAAAUACGGCAGUCUUCAAGGGACAGUCAGGGUAGCCUUGUCUCCUGGUUUUCCAGUUCCCAGAGCCUCGAAGAGGCCUAGCUGUAAGUGUCACCCUUGGGUUCUCUAAGGUUUCCAAAUGUUCUUUAAAAGCCACCCCUCAUGGGAGUUAGCUUGAGAGAGUUUCUCUUCUUUUCAAGCAAAAAGCAUUGGGUGAAACAUUGCCAACACAUCUUGGCCAAAUGUACCCAAAGUGGCCUCCUUGGCCCUGACUCCGCAUGUCUUCUUCACUUUUUGAGAUGCAGAGACACUUUGGUCUCACGUCAUUGCUAAGUGACUCCCCUGUCCGACUUUUAUCCAAAGCUGCCAGGCUAAAACGGGGCAGAACCAAUGUCAGCAGGGCUAAUUAUAUGGCUGAGUGGAGCAGAGAUACGGAAUUGCAGAACCUGCCGUAACUUUAGGGAUCAUAGAAACGCAUAUCAGUCUUUACUCCUCAUUUUUGCCUUGCCAGGUUUGCUUUUGUCCUAAUUUAUUUGAUAGAGAAAAAAAGUGUUCAAUGUACAGUUUAAUGAUGGAAAUUAAAAAGCCCUAGAAAAGGCAACACUAAGUUUUAUUGACCUUGAAACACAGAAUCCAUUAAAUGGAAAAAAUACAGAAUUAUGAUCCCAUAAGAGCCUAUAGGAUCCGAGUACCUCUAGGCACUAAGCAGCAUAGUAUAAUCAGAAGGAACUAAAUAUUUGGUCCAACUCAUUGAAACAGACAGUAGAAAAGUGGUUGCCAGGGCCUGGGGGCUGGGGAAAUAGGGAGAGGUUGGUAAAAGGGUACAAUUUUCAUGAGAUGAAUAAAGUCCGAGACUCUAAUGUACAGCAUGUGACUAUAGUUGAUAAGAUGGUAUUGUAUAAUUGAAAUUUGCUAAGAGAGUAGAAUUUAAAUGUUCUCAGUCUUCUGAAGAAAAGGAAAUAUGUGGGGUGAUGGGGGAUUAAUUAACUAGAUGGGGGCAUCCUUUUAUAAUGUAUACAAAUAUCAAAUCAUCAUGUUGUACACUGUAAGUAUCUUACUAUUUUGCUUGCCAGUUAUACCUUAAUAAAGCUGAAAAAUAAA
rnacentral:lncRNA from 1 species